rnacentral:rRNA from 1 species
UACGAAGGGUGCAAGCGUUAAUCGGAAUUACUGGGCGUAAAGCGCGCGUAGGUGGUUUGAUAAGUUGGAUGUGAAAGCCCCGGGCUCAACCUGGGAAUUGCAUCCAAAACUGUCUGACUAGAGUACGGUAGAGGGUAGUGGAAUUUCCUGUGUAGCGGUGAAAUGCGUAGAUAUAGGAAGGAACACCAGUGGCGAAGGCGACUACCUGGACUGAUACUGACACUGAGGUGCGAAAGCGUGGGGAGCAAACAGGAUUAGAUACCCCCGUAGUCCCU